rnacentral:rRNA from 1 species
AGAACGAACGCUGGCGGCAUGCCUAACACAUGCAAGUCGAACGAGACCUUCGGGUCUAGUGGCGCACGGGUGCGUAACGCGUGGGAAUCUGCCCUUGGGUUCGGAAUAACAGCGAGAAAUUGCUGCUAAUACCGGAUGAUGACGUAAGUCCAAAGAUUUAUCGCCCAAGGAUGAGCCCGCGUAGGAUUAGCUUGUUGGUGAGGUAAGAGCUCACCAAGGCGACGAUCCUUAGCUGGUCUGAGAGGAUGAUCAGCCACACUGGGACUGAGACACGGCCCAGACUCCUACGGGAGGCAGCAGUGGGAAUAUGGACAAUGGGCGAAAGCCUGAUCCAGCAAUGCCGCGUGAGUGAUGAAGGCCUUAGGGUUGUAAAGCUUCGUUUACCCGGAUGAAUAAUGACAGUACCGGAGAAAGUAAGCUACCGGCUAACUCCGUAGCCGAGCAGCCGAC